rnacentral:miRNA from 1 species
UACUACUAUCGUCUGCUCAACA